GACGAACGCUGGCGGCGUGCUUAACACAUGCAAGUCGAACGAAGUGGCGAACGGGUGAGUAACGCGUAAUCAACCUGCCCUUCAGAGGGGGACAACAGUUGGAAACGACUGCUAAUACCGCAUACUGAAGGAGGGGAUUGAGUCUGAUUAGCUAGUGGGAGGGGUAACGGCCCACCAAGGCGAUGAUCAGUAGCCGGUCUGAGAGGAUGAACGUCCACAUUUGGACUGAGACACGGCCCAGACUCUGACGGGAGGCAGCAGUGGGGAGUCUCCCGCAAUGGACGAAAGUCUGACGGAGCAACGCCGCGUGAGUGAUGACGGCCUUCGGGUUGUAAAGCUCUGUUAAUCGGGACGCGGUACCGGAAUAGAAAGCCACGGCUAACUACGUGCCAGCAGCCGCGGUAAUUC
rnacentral:rRNA from 1 species